rnacentral:rRNA from 1 species
CCUACGGGAGGCAGCAGUGAGGAAUAUUGGUCAAUGGCCGGAAGGCUGAACCAGCCAAGCCGCGUGAAGGACGAAGGUGCCAAGCAUUGUAAACUUCUUUUGUCAAGGGACAAAAUCAGGCUCGAGAGCCUGACCGAGGGUACUUGAAGAAAAAGCAUCGGCUAACUCCGUGCCAGCAGCCGCGGUAAUACGGAGGAUGCGAGCGUUAUCCGGAUUGAUUGGGUUUAAGGGUUGCGUAGGCGGGCUGUUAAGUCAGCGGUAAAAGCCCGGGGCUCAACCCCGGCGAGCCGUUGAAACUGGCUGUCUUGAGAUGUCGAGAGGUAUGCGGAAUGCGCAGUGUAGCGGUGGAAUGCUUAGAUAUUGCGCAGAACUCCGAUUGCGAAGGCAGCAUACCGGCGGCGAUCUGACGCUGAGGCACGAAAGCGUGGGUAUCGAACAGGAUUAGAUACCCUGGUAGUC